rnacentral:lncRNA from 1 species
UCCUAGUUUGGAUAUGGGUUUUUCUCUCCUUUUUGUCUAAGAGUUGAACAAAAAUUCCUACAUCUCUAGCAUAAAGAUUUGGUGCAUGGGUUUUAGAAAGAAAAGAAAAUAAAUGAUUCUUCUCAUGAUCUCUAGCAUAGAAAUCAUCAUCCUCCUAUUUUCUUCUUCUUCUUUAAAAGUAUCUUGAGAGAAAAAAAGAUUAUUCAACCAUCAAGAUGAGAUCUCUACAAGAGAGCUAGCACUCCAGUGAGAUUAAGAAGCUUCUGAUCAGAUUGAAGUCUCGUAUGGAUAUCUGUAA